rnacentral:rRNA from 1 species
ACGAACGCUGGCGGCGUGCCUAAUACAUGCAAGUCGAGCGGAAUGAUGAAGAAGCUUGCUUCUUCUGAUUUUAGCGGCGGACGGGUGAGUAACACGUGGGCAACCUACCUUGUAGAUUGGGAUAACUCCGGGAAAACCGGGGCUAAUACCGGAUAAUCCAUUUUGCUUCAUGGCGAGAUGUUAAAAGGCGGCUUCGGCUGUCACUACGAGAUGGGCCCGCGGCGCAUUAGCUAGUUGGUAGGGUAAUGGCCUACCAAGGCGACGAUGCGUAGCCGACCUGAGAGGGUGAUCGGCCACACUGGGACUGAGACACGGCCCAGACUCCUACGGGAGGCAGCAGUAGGGAAUCUUCCACAAUGGACGAAAGUCUGAUGGAGCAACGCCGCGUGAGUGAAGAAGGUUUUCGGAUCGUAAAACUCUGUUGUAAGGGAAGAACACGUACGAGAGUAACUGCUCGUACCUUGACGGUACCUUAUUAGAAAGCCACGGCUAACUACGUG